AUGUCUGCUGCAACUGAAAUUGAUCAUUUAUCACUAAAUAGGCUUCUGCUCAGUGGAGCUCCUGCUUACAUGAUCAGUCUAGCACAAGACACUUCUCCUACCACAAAAACAAGUGAUCCUAUUCCUCCAGAAGUACAAGAAGUAUUGGAGAAAUACCCUGAUAUCUUCACAGAGCCUGCAGGCCUUCCUCCUAAGAGGGAGCGUGACCAUGAGAUCCCCUUGGCACCUGGAAUUGACCCUCCUAACACAAGACCAUAUAGAGUACCCCACACUCAGAGAGAUGAGCUGGAGCAUCAGAUCCAUCUGUUACUCAAAAACAGAGUUAUAAGACCCAGCCAGAGCCCCUUUGCUUCUCCUGCAAUCCUUGUCAGAAAAAAAGAUGGCUCAUGGAGACUCUGCAUUGAUUAUAGAAAAUUGAAUGCAGCCACUGUCAAAAACAAGUUUCCUAUACCGGUAAUAGAAGAUCUUCUUGAUGAACUACAUGGAGCAACAGUCUUUUCCAAAUUGGACUUAAGGUCAGGCUAUCAUCAAGUGAGAAUGAAAGAAGAAGACAUACCAAAGACUGCCUUCAGAACUUCUUUUGGCCACUACGAGUUUUUAGUCAUGCCUUUUGGCCUUUCCAAUGCACCUGGCACCUUUCAAGCUCUCAUGAACAACAUCUUUGGCAGAUAUGUCAGGAAGUUUAUACUAGUGUUCUUUGAUGAUAUACUAGUCUUUAGCAAAACACUUGCAGAACAUGUCUCCCACCUGCAAAUUGUCAUGGACCUUUUGAAAGAACAUCAGCUCAAAGUCAAACUGUCCAAAUGCCACUUUGCUGUCCCUCAAGUGGAGUACCUAGGCCACAUCAUCAACAGCUCUGGAGUAGCAACAGAUCCUACCAAGAUACAAGCUGUAACAGACUGGCCCACUCCAACCACAGUAACACAACUCAGGGGAUUUCUUGGCCUAUGUGGGUAUUAUCGAAGGUUUGUCAAGAACUUUGGACCAAUAGCAAGACCCCUACAUGAUAUGCUCAAGAAAGACAGUUUUCAUUGGUCUCAAAAUCAAGAUAUUGCCUUUACACAGUUGAAAUCUGCUCUCGCUACUGCUCCAGUACUUGCGCUCCCUAAUUUUUCCCUCCCAUUCAUUCUUGAGACUGAUGCUUCUGGCACUGGGCUAGGUGCUGUACUCAUGCAGAACAGCCAACCCCUGGCUUACUACAGUUCCACCUUAUGCCCAAGAAACACCACUCUCUCAACAUAUGAGAAAGAGGCCCUAGCAAUUAUUGAAGCUCUUAAGCGUUGGAGACAUUACCUCCUUGGACACAAGCUGAUUAUAAGGACUGAUCACCAGAGCUUGCAAUUCAUGACGGAUCAGAAAGUCACAAGCAGUAUUCAGCAUAAACUCAUGGUCAAAUUGUUAGAGUAUAAUUUCCACCUGGAAUAUAGAAAAGGGAAAGAAAAUAUUGCUGCAGAUAUCCUCUCCAGGAAACAUUCUCUCCUAGCAAUUUCCAUUGUCACUCCUGAGUGGAUCAAACAAGUGGAGGCCUCUUACUUACAAGAUCCUCACUGCAAAACCCUCCUCGAACAACUAUUGUUAGCUGCUGAUCACACUGUCAACAAAAACAAACUCCAUGGAGGAGUUAUCAGACAUAAGGGAAGAAUAUAUGUAGGCAAGGAUAGCACACUAAGGAACAAACUCCUCAAAGCCCUGCACUCCUCUGCCAUUGGAGGUCAUUCUGGAAGGAAAGCAUCCUACCAGAGAAUUAAAAGAAUAUUCUAUUGGCCAGGCCUCAAACAAGAUGUGGAUUCAUUUGUGGCUCAAUGCCCAGUUUGUCAGAAAAACAAAGGUGAAAACUGCCCAUACCCUGGGUUCCUAGACCCUCUUCACAUACCUGAUAUGGUGUGGACCCACUUAAGCAUGGAUUUUGUCGAGGGCCUGCCUAAAUCUGAUGGCAUGGAUGUCAAAUUUGUGGUUGUUGACAGGCUGUCCAAAUUUGCCCAUUUCAUUCCUCUGGCCCACCCAUUCACAGUGCAAACCGUGGCCCAAGCCUUCUUGGAUAAUGUAAUCAAACUCCAUGGACCACCACUGGCAAUUGUAUCUGAUCGCGAUAGAAUCUUCACAAGCACACUCUGGCAAGAUAUCUUCAAAGCAAUGGGAAUUGAGCUGCGGUACAGUACAUCGUACCAUCCCCAGUCUGACGGACAUACUGAACGAGUGAACCAAUGCAUCGAGAAUUACCUACGCUGCAUGACAUCAAGCCAUCCAAAGCGCUGGAUCAAACAUUUGGGUCUUGCUGAAUACUGGUACAACACCUCUUUCCACUCCUCUCUUCAAAAGACACCAUUUGAAGCAAUGUACGGCUACCCACCACCAGCAAUCAGUGAGUAUAGUUUGCCUGAUGCCAUCACACCUGAGGCAGUGGAAUUUCUAACUGACAGACAAGCUUUCCUGCAACAACUCAAGUCCAAUUUGGCUGCUGCUCAAGCUCGAAUGAAAAAAUAUGCUGACCGCAAGCGUGUAGACAGGAGUUUGGAAGUAGGCAACAUGGUCUACCUCAAAAUGCAGCCCUACAUGCUCAAUGCAUUUGGUAUCCGUUCUCACAUCAAAUUACAAAGCAAAUACUACGGCCCGUUCAGAGUUCUUGCUCGUAUUGGACAAGUAGCCUACAAAUUGCUUCUACCCGAAGGUGUGGGCAUCCAUCCUGUUUUCCACAUCAGCCAACUCAAAAAGCAUAUCGGGCCAAGGGCAGUACCAUGUGCAGAUUUACCCUUGAUCACCUCUGAUGGCACAAUCCAAACUGAACCCGUACUGGUCCUGGAGACGCGCCAGAUUCCUCGCAACAACGUCGCUGUUGUUCUGUGGCUGGUACAAUGGGCCAACUUGCCCCCUGAUGAUGCAUCAUGGGAAGACGCCGAUUUCAUCAAACGCACCUCCCCCGGCUUCUUCAAGCAAACAGUCCAAGGCUGGUUCCAGCAACCAGCAGCUCCUUGA
rnacentral:rRNA from 1 species